rnacentral:rRNA from 1 species
GUCUCAGGCCGUAUCAGCCUGAAGGCGCCCGAUCUCGUCUGAUCUCGGAAGCUAAGCAGGGUCGGGCCUGGUUAGGAUCUUGGAUGGGAGACCACCUGGGAAGCCCGGGUGCUCGAGGCU